ensembl:lncRNA
ACCGGCCCUUCAAAAUGACGCAGAAGCUAAAGAGUUGAAGCCCCAGGCUGAAGGGAAGUGGAUUGCUGCAGCUGACCGUAAAGAGAACUGGAAAUUGAAGAGCCAACUGGAAAUUGAGAGGGCUAAAACAAAGAAGCAACACAUUGAAUUGACAAAGUUGGCAGAAGCUCUUAAAAACCAGCAGGAGGACACGAUGAGCAAACAGAGAGCGGAAAGAGACAAGAUGGCUGCAGCCCUGAAAGCAUCACAGGACCUUCUCAAGAGUGAGCACUUCACCACUCAGCAGAUGACGACCAACCAAGGUGAAAUGCAACAAUUCAAGGCCUCAAGCCAAGCUAAACUGGACGAACAGAGGGAUGCUAUCAUUAAGCUCAAGGCCGCUCUGGAAAAGUCUGAGCAGGACCUGAAGGCCGGUCAUCUCCAGUGGCAACAGGAAAAGGUUUCCCUCAAAGAACACUGUGUCCACUUAUCUCAUUCUGAGGGCCAACACAUGGGCACGCAGACCCAUGCAGUUGAUCAAGAGAUGGACGAACAGAGAGAGGAGACAAUCAGGAUCUUAGCCACCCUGAAAGCAACACAGGACGAGCUCCAAGCUGAGCGGAUGAAGGGAGAAAAACAGGCCCUUCAAAAUGACGUGGAGGCUAUGAUGUUGAAGGUCCGUGCUGAAUUGAAGCUGGCUAAAACUAACGUGGAGUUGGAAUUGGAAAGUCAACUGGAAAUUGAGAGGGCUCAAACAAAGAAGCAACAAAUUGAAAUAUCAACGUUGGCAGAAGCUCUUAAAAACCAGCAGGAGGCAGUAAAGCAAGUAAAGGAAUUAUUCCAGGCUUUCCAACAGGACACGAUGAGCAAACAGAGAGCGGAAAGAGACAAGAUGGCUGCAGCCCUGAAAGCAUCACAGGACCUUCUCAAGAGUGAGGAGAUGACGACCAACCAAGGUGAAAUGCAACAAUUCAAGGCCUCAAGCCAAGCUAAACUGGACGAACAGACUCAAAUCAACGAAAGCACCAAGGCUGCUCUCCUUAAGAGUGAGCAUUGCCUGCAUAAUGCAC